AAGUCGUAACAAGGUCUCCGUAGGUGAACCUGCGGAGGGAUCAUUAACACGUUUUAAAACACGUUUUAACACCCACACCAACCAACCACGUGAACUAUUUAACAAUCCUGGAAAAGAGAGAAUUCUGUCUAUUUUCACACUAAUGAUGAGCUCUCGCAAGGGAGCGGUGUGUGUAGACUAGCAUUGCAGGUAACUGACUUUGUAAAGACCUUUCUUUUCUGGGCUAAAUGCCUCUCUCAUCACUGGGGCGAAAACACCACUUUCACUACUUCUAUAACCAUUGACUGUAUCUUUUUUUAAUUUUCUGCGCAAGCAGUGAAUUGAAAAAAUCAAUAAUCAAAUAUCUAAGCACAACUCUUAGCAACGGAUAUCUUGGUUCUC
rnacentral:misc_RNA from 1 species